GCCCGGAGCAGUUAUGAUCGCGGAUCUCCUCUGGCCGACCUACACUUGCCGCGUGUCCCACUCACUAUGACAGACUGCUGAAAAUGGCUGACAGCUGACAAAAUCAUUAUUGCACCGUACCUAGAGCCAUACCCCAGCGAGAAUUUCGAAAAAACUUUUUCGGAUCGCUUUGAUUUGAAAAGACUCCAGCAUCAGUGCGCCAAGCGCCAAAAUAUCUGGCAACCAUCGAGUGCGAAAAUCGAGGGGGGCAAC
rnacentral:lncRNA from 1 species